AGUAUAUUUCAAUUGUAUAUCAAUAAAGUUGAUGAAAAGUAAACAGAUUAGAAACUCAAUUUACCUCUUCAUUGACUUUAGGCUCUUUUGGUCCUCCUCUUCCUGGAGAAAAUACAUGAAUGCCUUUGACUUUUGGAAUGGGAGCAGAGUUUUGAACUACAAAGAAAAACCUAAGUUCGUAUCUUCAAAUUUUGCACCCUUUAUUCUGAUGAAAGAUAGAGGUAAUAUGAGGAGAGACCCCUUUCCAAAGUACUGAUCUAAUCUGUCACUCACCCUUUCUGAAGAAAUGAUGAGUACAUAAAGUAAGCAAGGGUACUUAUUUGGUGAAUUUCAUUCUCAACCUCUCCUGGCCUCCUCAUUCUUCCAAAGCUCUGAAAUCUCAACCCUCAAGAUACACACACACAUAUACAUGUAUACAUACAUGUGGAUAUAGCCUCACAUAUCCUGGAGAACCAUUUGGGUUAGCAAACUCCUCUUAUGGAGUACAAACACAACUUAUUACUCAAUAGUGGUUUCUUUCCAAAGGAGUCUGGAUUUGGAGGUUGAAAGAAAGAAGAACAGAGGAAAAAGAAAAAAAAUUGAGCUUUGUAUCAACAUGGAUCCAAUUUCUGCUCUCCUGUGUCCAUCCUUCCAUCUCCUUCUCUGCCUUUACUACAAGAACUCUGUCACACUACACUUGGAUAACUCUGGAAACUGGGCUGUAAACAGUUUGCAGAACUGGAGAGGUGGCAGACAGAGAAUUAUGAGGAGCUGGAGGAUGAAAAGGAGUCAAGAGAUGAUGAAAGUCCCCUGGACACAUGCUUAUUUCCAAUGAGGAUUCAACAAUUCACAAGCAACCAGGUGAAAAGCUGACCCCUUGGAGAAGAACUGGCCUGUUGGAGGACAGUGAGCUAAAGAGAGAGGUCCUGGGCAAGAGUGACUCUGUGAAGGAGCAAAGCCAAGAAGAUGAACUGCAGCCCCUCAAUUUCACUGGCACCAGCUCAUCCUAUCUUAGAGGCUUGAAGAGCCACACCCAAGCUGAAAGCUCAAAAUUGUGCUCAUUGGACUCAAAGGGAGACUAAUUUGAAGUUGGCUCAAAUUUCUAAUGGGAGUCUUUGUAAGCACCUUUAGCCUCAAGAGACCAGAUGCUUAUUGGAGAUUCUUUCUUCAAGUGCACACAUUAAAUCCAGAAAUAAAUUAUAAAAUUUC
rnacentral:lncRNA from 1 species